rnacentral:rRNA from 1 species
GUGUCAGCAGCCGCGGUAAUACGUAGGUGGCAAGCGUUAUCCGGAAUUAUUGGGCGUAAAGCGCGCGUAGGCGGUUUCUUAAGUCUGAUGUGAAAGCCCACGGCUCAACCGUGGAGGGUCAUUGGAAACUGGGAAACUUGAGUGCAGAAGAGGAAGGUGGAAUUCCAUGUGUAGCGGUGAAAUGCGCAGAGAUAUGGAGGAACACCAGUGGCGAAGGCGACUUUCUGGUCUGUAACUGACGCUGAUGUGCGAAAGCGUGGGGAUCAAACAGGAUUAGAAACCCCCGUAGUCC